rnacentral:rRNA from 1 species
AACGAACGCUGGCGGCAUGCUUAACACAUGCAAGUCGAACGAGAAAGCACUUCGGUGUGAGUAGAGUGGCGCACGGGUGAGUAACACGUAGGUGAUCUGCCUUUUGGUGGGGGAUAACUAGGAGAAAUUCUAGCUAAUACCGCAUGAGAUGAACAACUUUGGAAGGAGUUCAUCAAAGAAUGCCUCUGUAUAUGCAUUCGCCGAUUGAGGAGCCUGCGCGACAUUAGCUUGAUGGUGGGGUAACGGCCUACCAUGGCGACGAUGUCUAGCGGAUUUGAGAGAAUGAUCCGCCACACUGGAACUGAGACACGGUCCAG